UCGUAACAAGGUCUCCGUUGGUGAACCAGCGGAGGGAUCAUUACCGAGUUUACAACUCCCAAACCCCUGUGAACAUACCAAUUGUUGCCUCGGCGGAUCAGCCCGCUCCCGGUAAAACGGGACGGCCCGCCAGAGGACCCCUAAACUCUGUUUCUAUAUGUAACUUCUGAGUAAAACCAUAAAUAAAUCAAAACUUUCAACAACGGAUCUCUUGGUUCUGGCAUCGAUGAAGAACGCAGCAAAAUGCGAUAAGUAAUGUGAAUUGCAGAAUUCAGUGAAUCAUCGAAUCUUUGAACGCACAUUGCGCCCGCCAGUAUUCUGGCGGGCAUGCCUGUUCGAGCGUCAUUUCAACCCUCAAGCCCAGCUUGGUGUUGGGACUCGCGAGUUAAAUCGCGUUCCCCAAAUUGAUUGGCGGUCACGUCGAGCUUCCAUAGCGUAGUAGUAAAACCCUCGUUACUGGUAAUCGUCGCGGCCACGCCGUUAAACCCCAACUUCUGAAUGUUGACCUCGGAUCAGGUAGGAAUACCCGCUGAACUUAAGCAUAUCAAUA
rnacentral:rRNA from 1 species